CCUACGGGAGGCAGCAGUGAGGAAUAUUGGUCAAUGGCCGGAAGGCUGAACCAGCCAUGCCGCGUGAAGGUCAGUGCCCUAUGGGCGUUAAACUUCUUUUGUGCGGGAGCAAUAAUGGUCACGUGUGGCCAGACGAGAGUACCGUACGAAUAAGCAUCGGCUAACUCCGUGCCAGCAGCCGCGGUAAUACGGGGGAUGCAAGCGUUAUCCGGAUUUAUUGGGUUUAAAGGGUGCGUAGGCUGUGGGGUAAGUCAGCGGGGAAGUGCCCCCGCUCAACGGGGUGAAGUGCCAUUGAUACUGCCGUGCUGGAGUGCGGAUGCCGGGAGAGGAAUGUGUGGCGUAGCGGUGAA
rnacentral:rRNA from 1 species